GGAGGUUUAGCUCAGUUGGGAGAGCGUCUGCCCUACAAGCAGAGGGUCAGCGGUUCGAGCCCGUUAACCUCCACCA
rnacentral:tRNA from 1 species